rnacentral:rRNA from 1 species
UCAUAUGCUUGUCUCAAAGAUUAAGCCAUGCAUGUGUAAGUGCACGCCCUGCGUAAGGCCAAACCGCGGAUGGCUCAUUAAAUCAGCUAUCAUUGGCUAACCGACAGUUAUUCUACUCGGAUAACUGUAGUAAUUCUAGAGCUAAUACGUGCCAAAUAUGUCUUGCUCGAAAGAGUGGGAUGGCUUUAUUAGAUCAAAACCAACCGCGUCUUCGGGCGGCGUUUGGUUUGAUGACUCUGGAUAACGUACUUAUCGCAUAAGCUCGCUUGGCGAUACGGUUGGCAAAUGUCUGCCCUAUCAACUAUAGACGGUAGGAUAUUGGCCUACCGUGGUUGUAACGGGUAACGGGGAAUCAGCGUUUGGUUCCGGAGAGGGAGCCUGAGAAAUGGCUACCACAUCCAAGGAAGGCAGCAGGCGCGCAACUUACCCACUCCCAGUUUGGGGAGGUAGUGACAAUAAAUAACAAAUACCAGCCUUUAUGGUUUGGUAUAUUGGAAUGAGAGAAGUUUAGAAUACUUCUCAAGUAUCAAUUGGAGGGCAAGUCUGGUGCCAGCAGCCGCGGUAAUUCCAGCUCCAAAAGCGUAUAUUAAUGUUGUUGCAGUUAAAAAGCUCGUGGUUGAAUUCAAAACCUUCGGGUCAGGUUUGUAAUUAACUUACUUACUUGGCCUGAUAGUUUUAUAGUUGGUUUCCAUCCUAAGUGCCUUUCAUCGGGUGCUUUUGAUGGCCAACGAGUUUACUUUGAAAAAAUUAGAGUGCUCAAAGCAGGCUUUAGCCUGAAUACUGUUGCAUGGAAUAAUAGAAUAGGACUUCGGUUCUAUUUUGUUGGUUUUCGGAACAGAAGUAAUGAUUAAAAGGGACAGACGGGGGCAUUCGUAUGGCCGGGGGAGAGGUGAAAUUCGUAGAUCCUGGCCAGACGACCAACUGCGAAAGCAUUUGCCAAGAAUGUUUUCAUUAAUCAAGAACGAAAGUCAGAGGUUCGAAAGCGAUUAGAUGCCGCUCUAGUUCUGACCAUAAACUAUGCCAUCUAACAGCCUGAGGGUCAUUAAUUUGUAUCCUCCAGGAGGUCCCCGGGAAACCUGAAGUUUUCCGGUUCCGGGGGUAGUAUGGUUGCAAGGUUGAAACUUAAAGGAAUUGACGGAAGGGCACCACCAGGAGUGGAGCCUGUUGCUUAAUUUGACUCAACACGGGAAAACUUACCCGGCCCGGACACCAAAAGGAUUGACAGAUUGAGAGCUCUUUCUUGAUUCGGUGGAUGGUGGUGCAUGGCCGUUUUUAGUUGGUGGAGUGAUUUGUCUGGUUAAUUCCGAUAACGAACGAGACUCUAACCUACUAAAUAGUUGACUGGUGAGAUAAUUGCCAGGUUUAACUUCUUAGAGGGAUAAGCGAGUUAUAACUCGCAUGAGAAAGAGCUAAAACAGGUCUGUGAUGCCCUUAGAUGUCCGGGGCCGCAAACGCGCUACACUGGCAAGGUCAACAAGUAAUUUCCAACGCCGAAAGGCUGAGGGAACCUUUUGAAUCCUUGUCGUGACAGGGAUCGUGGUUUGUAAUUAUCCCACGUGAACGAGGAAUUCCCAGUAAGGGCAAGUCAUUAGCUUGCCCUGAUUACGUCCCUGCCCUUUGUACACACCGCCCGUCGCUACUACCGAUUGGAUGGUUUAGUGAGGUUAUUGGAUCGGUGUUGGUGAGGUGGUUAAACAUCUUACUGACGCUGAGAAGAUAAUCAAACUUGGCCAUUUAGAGGAAGUAAAAGUCGUAACAAGGUUUCC